rnacentral:lncRNA from 1 species
CUUAUUAGUAAGACAAAUUCUCUCAUUUCAUACUUGUUAAGAAAAUUGUUGUAUUUACUAAACUACUCCCUCCGGUCCUUUUUAUAAGGAACAAUUUGAAAAAAUCACACAGACCAAGAAAUCACAUUUAACAUAAUUAUUUUCAUUUAAUACUCUUAUAAAUUUAAAUUUAUUCCAUAUAUACCCUUAUUUUAUUACUCUUUAUUCAAUUAAUUUACUUAUUUUUAAAUUCUCUCUCAUAAUAAAUAAGGGCAUAAGUGAAAUUGAACAUUUAAAACAUUUGAAAAUUGGUCAAAGUUUCUUAUAAAAAGGACCAAAUUUUUUGCCCUAAGUGUUCCUUAUAAAAAGGACCGGAGGGAGUAUCAUUUACAAAUUACAAUAUAUUAAAUUUACUUUGGAAAUAUGCAAUCAUCUUAAAAAGUAGAAAAUUAAUGAGGAGUAUUUUAUGAACAAUAACAUUUAAUAUAAUUGAAUUUGUUAACUUUUACUUAUAUUUAAGGCAAAAUCAUUUGUUGACUUUUGCUUAUAAAUAAGACCGGAGGAAGAACAUAAUCUUUCUUCGAUUUUAGUGAUAUUUAUUUAUGAAUUUAAUUUAUAUGCACCGUCAGUGUAAAAUUAUUUUGCACAUGCGUCCAAUAAUAUAAUGACA